rnacentral:rRNA from 1 species
UACGUAGGGCGCAAGCGUUGUCCGGAAUUAUUGGGCGUAAAGAGCUCGUAGGCGGUCUGUUACGUCCGCUGUGAAAACCCAGGGCUUAAUCCUGGGCUUGCAGUGGAUACGGGCAGACUAGAGGCAGGUAGGGGAGAAUGGAAUUCCCGGUGUAGCGGUGAAAUGCGCAGAUAUCGGGAGGAACACCGGUGGCGAAGGCGGUUCUCUGGGCCUGACCUGACGCUGAGGAGCGAAAGCCAGGGGAGCAAACAGG